CAAUGCAAAACUGUGCGGUCCACUUCUCAAAUAAGAAAAAAGCUUCGCGAAAAAGAAGAAAACAGUUUAUCUUUCUUACCUUCUCUGUUGAACCAAACAAAACUCAUCUCUCUCACUCUCACCCUCCAUUCAUGAAAUCACCGCAGAAUAUCCAGCCAUCUACAAGAUUCGCCAUCCGUAUCUUCUCUCUCGAUAGAUCGACUACGACUCGAGCAUCUACCAGAUCCGCUGAGAUUCGAGCAUCUACCGGAUCGGCUGAGACUCGGGCAUCUAUCGGAUCCGCUGAGACUCGAGCACCUACUAGAUCCGCCGUUUGUUGUUUUCGACGGAUCCCUGUCUCUCUCCCUACCUCCCUUUCUGUUUCUAGUUUGUGGACUUGUGGGUUUGUUGCAUCCGGUUCGGGCCUGAAUUUUUGCAUUGUGUAGAGCUAUUUGGAUGCUUAAUGGCAAUAUUUGGAAGGUUAUAGUGUUUUAUCAUUUACGUUGGAAAUCUUUUUUGGAGUUGAGACCAUUCAUUGGGAAACUGUUUUGAAGUCGUAAUUUUUCUUCAGGAAAAAUCUUGUCUUUCUUGGUUGACACAAAGUAAGAUUUUUGCUAUCUUUGGAUGAGGUCUCACGAGUACAGCUUUAAGGGGGAAAAGGAUGUCAUCAUAUUGUUCCAUGUGGAUGACACCACACAAUGUUUUGCAGGUACCUAUAUAAUCUUCUUGGGCUUUGCAUCAACUUCUUAUACAACAGUUGGCAAAUUUUUUGAGCUACAUUGUAUUGCUGCAAGGUCGAGCUACAUUGUAUUGCUGCAAAGGCACCUUCCUAGCUAGUCGCGACGAGGAUGAUAAUAUUGAUGAAAUGAGCAAGAGAAGGAUAGAAAGGAUUGGAAUGUGUAUUAGGAGUUUCACAUUUUGGAUGUAGAGUAAUGUCCAAUACUUAUACAUAUUUGUUUUUUAUAUAUGAAUACUGUUCAGUUUGUAUUCACUUUGAAAUGCAAUAUAUGACAGUUGAAUUGAAAUUUAUGUCA